UGUACAACAGACUCCUGGCAAAAGUUUGAUGACGUUUUUGCAGGUGAGCUUCAUCCAACUACUCUCCCAAUUCUGACUGGCAGAGCAGCUUCCUUUAUCCCAGACCCAGGAAUACUUCUGGUGCUGUCACAUUGCAUCUAGGAAAAACUUCCGGGACAGAUGGAACCUUCCUGUGAUAGGAGAGUCUGCCUUCAGCAGUUCCCCUUAGUGGUACCCGAGGAUUCCAACAGGGCUGCCCAGCAAAACUACAUACUGUAGCUCUGGGAAGCUUUCUCCUCCUAUGCAUCCAUUAUAACAGAAAAGUACCACUAACCAACCUGGUCAGGAUUCCUGGCCACCCACAUCUUUUCAUUAAAAAGAAUUUAAUGCCAGCCAACCCAUGUUGUCUGAUGCAAUGGAGAAAUCAAAGACUAGAAGUACUGAGGAGCAGAGCAAUAAAAAAAACUUAAGACAAGCCUUCAGUUGGAUCCUUGUUGCAAAUGGACAGGGGAGAGUCGAUGGUGUUGAUGGAGUAAGUAACAACAGAAUAUAGAGUUGUUAUUGUCACAGAGUACAAUACAAUUCUUACUUGCAUGUGCUAAUUAACAGGUAACACAAUCCCACUCUCUGGUGGGAAUGUUUACAUAAAAUACCAGCACUCUUAAAAGCAGGAUAUAUUAAAAAAUGUUGCAGAAAUAAAGCAUAUAUAAACUGUA